rnacentral:rRNA from 1 species
UAUUGGGAUUCGACUAAGCCAUGCGAGUCGUGAGGGUUCAGCCCUCGGCGAACGGCUCAGUAACACGUAGAUAAUUUGCCCUUAGGUGGAGGAUACCCUCGGGAAACUGAGAAUAAUACUCCAUAGAUUUAGAAUGCUGGAAUGCUUUUAAAUUGAAAGAUUUAUCGCCUAAGGAUAAGUCUGCGGACUAUCAGGUCGUAGUUAGGGUAAAUACCUGACUAGCCUACGACGGAUACGGGUUGUGAGAGCACUAGCCCGGAGAUGAUAUCUGAGACACGAUAUCAGGCCCUACGGGGCGCAGCAGGCGCGAAAACUUCGCACUGUGCGAAAGCACGACGAGGGAAUCCCAAGUGCUGGCUCGUGAGAGUCAGCUGUUUCCUUGUCUAAAAAACAGAGAGAGUAAGAGCUGGGUAAGACGGGUGCCAGCCGCCGCGGUAAUACCUGCAGCUCAAGUGGUGGCCGCUAUUAUUGGGCCUAAAACGUCCGUAGCCGGUUCUAUAAAUGCCUGGGUAAAUCGUACGGCUUAACCGUACGAAUUCCGGGUAGACUGUUCAACUUGGGACCGGGAGAGGCUAGAGGUACUCCUGGGGGUAGAGGUGAAAUUCUGUAAUCCUAGGGGGACCACCAGUGGCGAAGGCGUCUAGCUAGAACGGGUCUGACGGUGAGGGACGAANCCCUGGGGAGCAACGGGAUUAAAUACCCGG